rnacentral:rRNA from 1 species
ACUCCUACGGGAGGCAGCAGUGGGGAAUAUUGCACAAUGGGCGCAAGCCUGAUGCAGCAACGCCGCGUGAGUGAUGAAGGCCUUCGGGUCGUAAAGCUCUGUCCUCAAGGAAGAAUAAAUGACGGUACUUGAGGAGGAAGCCCCGGCUAACUACGUGCCAGCAGCCGCGGUAAUACGUAGGGGCAAGCGUUAUCCGGAAUCACUGGGCGUAAAGGGUGCGUAGGCGGUUUUUCAAGUCAGAAGUGAAAGGCUAUGGCUCAACCAUAGUAAGCUUUUGAAACUGUUAAACUUGAGUGCAGGAGAGGAAAGUGGAAUUCCUAGUGUAGAGGUGAAAUUCGUAGAUAUUAGGAGGAACACCAGUGGCGAAGGCGACUUUCUGGACUGUAACUGACGCUGAGGCACGAAAGCGUGGGAGCGAACAGGAUUAGAUACCCUGGUAGCACAGAG